CAUGAAUCAUAAUGGGGAGCAAGUAAAGCAAAAAGACAAAAAUUGAGGAGAAAAUUUUGGAAAGAAAUAAGAAUUGGACACAGGUUAUGUAAAAUUCUCCAUAGUAAGCUGUUUUCUUCAGCGCAGCAAAGGUAUGAAAAAAGUAACAGAACCGGAUAUGGUACUGAGAGAGAACCCGAUGCUGAGACAAAGCUGGAUGCUGUAUCCCAGUGACGAGCCCUUACGUGAUCAAGGUUCUGCUACCUCUGAGGAAGGCCACUAUCUAAAUGCUCGUUUAUCAGCCUGUCGACUUCUCAAUGUCUCAACUAUAUGGCCUCGGAAGGUACGCUACCGACCAGCUGUCGUGUCAUCCUCAGCUCACAG